rnacentral:rRNA from 1 species
AUGGUCAAUCUAUUGAUUCAAGAGUGGAUCAGUGCAUGCUCAUUUAACCUCACAACAAUGUAUAGAGAUAUUGAAGAAACCGAGCAUAUGAAGCUAUUAAACUUUUUCAAAUGUAGGGGUACAAAGAUACAAAUUAAAAGUAGCACACUUCCAAGGCAAAUAAACUAUUUAGACUACAUAGAGUUCACUGUAAGCAGAGAACUAUAUGUAGAAACACAAACACAUUACAUAAAUGAGCUAGAAGUAGUUGGUGAUAUAUUAGAUCAUCCUAGUAUACCCUCCUGCAGGAUUGCUGCCCGUGAUAGAGUGGUAAAGUGA